UCCUCCAAGCAGUAGGCUAUUUCUAGCGAUCAAAAAUACGAUAUGCUGCCUUGACGUAACGAGAUGUUCGAGAGACGCAUUGUUAGUUUCUUGAAAGCUGGAUGUUUGCAGUAAACUUUGUUGAUCAGGAGCAGCCGACAGGGGUAGCCUUGAAACCGACUAACGAAGGAGAAUGGAGAGAGUAGGUGCAGGGGGCUGUAGUGUCUGAUGGCCUCCAGAGGACCAGGGCAGUGUUCUUAUAGCGCUGGGGAACCUCAGGAGUCCCAGGAUGAUUGGGCAGCCCUAGAAGGGCAGAGAGAUAUAGGUGUGUGACUCUUACGGGCAAGGGAGAGAGUACAGGAGCUGGAGACCGAAGCCAGAGGGUUGGUAGCCACACACUCGUAUAGCCCUGCAUCCUUCUUGGUGGUUGUCAUGAUCAUCAGCAGCUGCCUGCCAUCCGGACAGGAGAUCAUGUUCAUUCUGGCAUCAAUCUGCAGAGGCUUCUUAUCUGAAAUGGGAGGAAAAGGUCAACUUAAAGCCAACAGUUAUAAUGCAAUAUGAUGCAUUUAUAAUGCAUUCAGGAAAGAAUUCAGACCCUUUAACCUUUUCCACAUUUUGUUACGUUACAG